AUUAGUGUCAACUGGAUGAGUCUUUUAGAACAGAAGAAUAAAAAGGCAAAUGUUAUUGAAUGGGCUAUUAAAGCUUCCACAUUUUCUAUCUUGCUCUUUACAUUUUACUGUUUAGGUUAGCUUUCAUAUUCUAUAAAAAAAAAUAUAGAAACAAAUGUGGAACUGUGAAGAGUACAUUUGAGAACUGUUAUAGGACUGGACUUUUUGGUGUUUUCAAAUAUGAAUAUACAAUGUCUUAUAUUAUGGUAUAAGCGUGUUUUCAGAUUUUUCCCCCAUUCUACUUCUCAGAUAAUCUCCCCCCCUCCUUUCCACUGCCAUUUUCUUCUCCUUUCUCUUCAAAUGCUUUCAUUUUACCCACAAUAUGAAUGUAUUUAACCAAAGUUUCAUUUUUCUAUUGUUUGUACUUGUAUAGUAAUAUGUGGUUGUGACAUUGCUUUCUUUUUUUUCCUACUUCUUUUGUAUUACUCUAUUUUACAACAAGCUAAUUUUAAAGGUGUCAAGUGUAUUUUGAUUUUGGGGAAGAAUUCAGAUGACAAAAGCAUUAAGAAGUCGAUCGUCGGUCUGGAAAGUUAGUGAUAAACAUCCAGGUUGGAUAUGCUUCAGCUGAGACUUUUUAGUUCAAUAGAGAAUCAUACAACAUUUUAGUUUGAGGUAUAUCUUUUCUGUUAAAUUUUUCAUGUAGGAUUUUGGUUUUUUUUUUCGAUGCAGAUGGUCGUAUCAGGUACGAUUUUCUCAAAUAAUUCCCGGAUUUUUAUUUUUCGCUCAUUAACUUGUUUAGUUUGUUACUGAAUUCUACCUUCCAAUUCUACCAAUAAUAUUCAACCAGGUAUUUAUUUGGAUUAAACUUGCUCUGAGAUAAAAUUUCUAUGGCUGGGCUGGGAUGCAGGGGGAGGAAUUCAUUAGGUUGUUAUUAGCAAAUACCACUAUUUGUUGGGCUGGGAUGCAUAUUGUUGCUUAAAAACUCUUUCUUAACUCAACAAAUUUUAUCAAUGCUUUUAACUCAUUCCUCCAUUUGUUCAUGGAAUUAUGUAAUGAUGAUUUGAUGUAAAUCCUUACUAAUUAAGAAUCUUGGCUACAAUCUUCUUGGCUUGACAUUCAGCUAAGUUCAAGUUAAUUGUGAAAUCUUCAUUUCUUUCAUUUAGAGUUCUCUUGGCAAAUCGUUAGUUUAGUUGAUAUGUUUGUUUGCUACCAUUCAUUAUUGUAGUUUUUCACCAUUCUUCACUUGUGAAUUGUUUGGUAGAAAGUUUUGUGAGAUAAUCCUUCGUGGAAUGAGUAGGUGAUUGUUAGGACAGUUCUUAUGCAAUUUUUGUAUGCAUAAGCAACCUUCUUCUCCCCUUCCCCCAUGAUUCUUUUCAAUUCUGAAAACCUGGGGUAGCUUCUAUGUUUUCUUUCCUCUUCCAAUGAUUACUCUUUUAUGUUUUCUUUCAUCAUCGUCCCAUGUUUACUCCUCUAUGUUUUCUUUCCUCUUUCCAUGUAUACUCUUGUGUCUUCUCGUGACUAUAUUUCUAUAUCUAUACCUUUUGUUCUUCUUUUAUCACAACUUUUUGGUGAACUUUUCACCUUCCUUGAAAACACAUUUGAAUCCUAAGUCAUAUUU